rnacentral:lncRNA from 10 species
GCUGAUGUGUGAUGUGCUCAAGUCAUCGAGAACAUGUCUUGGGAUAGAGAUUGGAGAUUCCCUAUCUUUUUCAUUGAUGAAUUUUUUUUUGACCCACUAUGGUGACCCCAGCCAGCUUUGCAGGAACAAGGAGCUCACAACACAAGGACCAAGAGUCAAAUGCUGAAGAAAGUAGUUAGUACAGUGAAUCUUUCAAGUGAUGUAUCCUUAGCUAUCAUAGAUACAAAAGAUGUACUGAUCUCAGAUUUCUCCUCUGGAUUUACUAAAGGAGUUCAAUUACCUCCAGAAAGAGAGUCCUCAGGUUGUUCUUCUUGGCCUAAGAGAUUUCACAUUACCUUUACUACUAUUGAAAGCUCCAGUAGAGGUAUGGGGCAGUAAUGGACUUCCUCAUUGUGAACUGCAGAAAUGAGCAGACUAACCCCACGCAGUCACUGGCAGCACUGGAUAAACGGCUAGACUUCCCCAUUCAGAGCCUUUGGGUAAGAGACGAUACCUGGUACAACACAGGGGAGCAGGCUUCGGUUUGCACAUCCUUAGAAGUGCGCACUUCCAAGAUGACUGGAAGGAGCAGAAACAGGCAUGCCCAGUUCCUC